rnacentral:lncRNA from 1 species
AGAUAAAUCUUUUGAGCCUAAUUAGUCAAUAAUUAAAUAAUAUUUAUCAGAUAAAAACGAAAAUACUACAGUACUGAAAUCUAAAAUAUUUUCGGAGCUAAACAUGACCAUUAUCAAAUGACAAACAUUUUGGUCGCACCGUCUGAAGCUUGCGACAGCAUUUCCGGGUCAAAUCUGAGCAUGCAAGUCCAAGAUGUGCAAUCCAGCAUCUAAAAAAAAAGGAAAACAGUGGGUAAAUAAAUCCAUUACAGGCCCCUAAAGCAAGCCAUGUGCACACACCUGUUCGGCACAACUAAAAUCCAAUCGUGGUUUUGUCGUCUUCAUCACUCAAUCGUUCUUAAACAGAAGAGGUAGCAUAUGCAGUACCCUUUUUAAUCUUGUGCUUAGUAACUGUUCCAAAAAAAAUAAUAUUUUGAUCUGGAUAAGUUAACUAUUAGUCUAUUAUUACCAUGGUAUAGGAUGAGGACUGAGGAGGGAUCAUGAGUCACUUUAGCCCUGAGCCAUGUGGUUUUUGAUAGAUGCUGUGCAACAUUCAUCUGCUCACAUUUUUCUUUGACCUGUCAGAGUGUCAGUGUCACUCUUCAAACAACAGUGCUCCUGUAGUCCUGUUUAGGGUAGAAUAGUUUGUCUCUGCUUGUAGUUAUCAAUUAAUGAAGGCAUUAAAUAUAGAAACUUUCAAUAUCUACCUCUGAGUAUCAUCUAUCUACCACAGCUCUUCCUAUGUUAGUUUCUAUGUAGACUUUAGUUUCUCACAUUCUCCAUCAUAAAGAAUAUAUAUGACUUUCAACGAGUCAAAUAGUCCAAAAUCUGAUUAGGU